AGGGAACGCGGGCGGUAGGCCUAACACAUGCAAGUCGAACGGCAGCACAGUAAGAGCUUGCUCUUACGGGUGGCGAGUGGCGGACGGGUGAGGAAUACAUCGGAAUCUACUUUUUCGUGGGGGAUAACGUAGGGAAACUUACGCUAAUACCGCAUACGACCUACGGGUGAAAGCAGGGGAUCUUCGGACCUUGCGCGAUUGAAUGAGCCGAUGUCGGAUUAGCUAGUUGGCGGGGUAAAGGCCCACCAAGGCGACGAUCCGUAGCUGGUCUGAGAGGAUGAUCAGCCACACUGGAACUGAGACACGGUCCAGACUCCUACGGGAGGCAGCAGUGGGGAAUAUUGGACAAUGGGCGCAAGCCUGAUCCAGCCAUACCGCGUGGGUGAAGAAGGCCUUCGGGUUGUAAAGCCCUUUUGUUGGGAAAGAAAAGCAGCAGGUUAAUACCCCGCUGUUCUGACGGUACCCAAAGAAUAAGCACCGGCUCACUUCGUC
rnacentral:rRNA from 1 species